GAUGAAGAACGUAGUGAAAUGCGAUACGUAAUGUGAAUUGCAGAAUUCAGUGAAUCAUCGAAUCUUUGAACGCACAUUGCGCCCCUUGGUAUUCCAUGGGGCAUGCCUGUUCGAGCGUCAUUUGUACCUUCAAGCUCUGCUUGGUGUUGGGUGUUUGUCUCGCCUCUGCGUGUAGACUCGCCUCAAAAUAAUUGGCAGCCGGCGUAUUGAUUUCGGAGCGCAGUACAUCUCGCGCUUUGCACUCAUAACGACGACGUCCAAAAGUACAUUUUUACACUCUUGACCUCGGAUCAGGUAGGGAUACCCGCUGAACUUAAGCAUAUCAAUAAGCGGAGGA
rnacentral:misc_RNA from 1 species